rnacentral:rRNA from 1 species
CCCUUAGAUGUUCUGGGCUGCACGCGUGCUACACUGAUAUUGCCAAUAUGUCAUUCUUAUCCGAAAUGGAUUGGGUAAUCAAGUAAUGAAAUUUCAUGCUUGGAAUCGGUAAUUGCAAUUUUAUCGUGAACGAGGAAUUCCCAGUAAGCACUAGUCAUCAGCUAAUGUUGAUUAUGUCCCUGCCCUUUGUACACACCGCCCGUCGCUACUACUGAUUGGGUGUUCAAGUGAGAUGCUUAGACCCUUGUUGCAUGGUUCAUUAUUGUGCUCCGAAAGGAAAAAGUUUCAAGCUUGAGUGUCUAGAGGAAGUAAAAGUCGUAACA